UACAGAGGUCUCAAGCGUUGUUCGGAUUUACUGGGCGUAAAGGGCGCGUAGGCGGCGCAACAAGUCACUUGUGAAAUCUCCGGGCUUAACCCGGAGCGGUCAAGUGAUACUGUCAAGCUAGAGUGCAGAAGGGGCAAUCGGAAUUCUUGGUGUAGCGGUGAAAUGCGUAGAUAUCAUUUUGGAACGCCAAUGGUGAAAAACAGGGUAGCUGGGGGCUGUGCUGACAUGAGACACGAAAAGCGU
rnacentral:rRNA from 1 species